GGCUUUGUAGCUCAGCUGGUAGAGCAUCGGUAGUACGAAUCCGAAGGUCGUGGGUUCGAAUCCCAGCGAGGUCG